rnacentral:rRNA from 1 species
AACGAACGCUGGCGGCAUGCCUAACACAUGCAAGUCGAACGACACCUUCGGGACUAGUGGCGCACGCGUGCGUCACGCGGGGGAACCUGCCCGUAGGCUCGGAAUAAUACCCCGACGGGGGUGCUAAUACCGGAAAAUGUCUUCGGACCCCAGAUCUAUCGCGCUUGGAGGGGCACGCGUUGGUUUAGCCUGCUGGGAUGGUAAAAGCCUACCAAGGCGACGAUCCAUAGCUGGUUUGAGAGGAUGGUCAGCCACACUGGGAGUGAGCCACGGCCCAGACUCUUGCGGGAGGGAGCAGUGGGGAAUAUAGGCAUAUGGGCGAAAGCCUGAUCCAGCUAGGCCGCGUGAGUGAUGUAGGUCGGAGAGUUGUAAAGCUCUUUUACCCGGGAUGAUAAUGACGGUACCGGGAGAAUAAGCUCCGGCUAACUUCGUG